rnacentral:rRNA from 1 species
GACGAACGCUGGCGGCGUGCUUAACACAUGCAAGUCGAACGGAAAGGCCCCUUUGGGGGUACUCGAGUGGCGAACGGGUGAGUAACACGUGAGUAACCUGCCCUUGACUUCGGGAUAACUUCAGGAAACUGGGGCUAAUACCGGAUAGGAAUCCUUUCUGCCUGGUGGGGGUUGGAAAGCUUCGGCGGUUUUGGGUGGACUCGCGGCUUAUCAGCUUGUUGGUGGGGUGGUGGCUUACCAAGGCUUUGACGGGUAGCCGGCCUGGGGGGGCGACCGGCCACAUUGGGACUGAGAUACGGCCCAGACUCCUACGGGGGGCAGCAGUGGGGAAUAUUGCACAAUGGGCGGGAGCCUGAUGCAGCAACGCCGCGUGCGGGAUGACGGCCUUCGGGUUGUAAACCGCUUUCAGCAGGGGCGAAGCUUGUGGUGACGGUACCUGCAGAAGAAGCACCGGCUAACUACGUG